rnacentral:rRNA from 1 species
CCUACGGGUGGCAGCAGUGGGGAAUAUUGCACAAUGGGCGAAAGCCUGAUGCAGCGAAGCCGCGUGAGUGAAGAAGUAAUUCGUUACGUAAAGCUCUAUCAGCAGGGAAGAAACACUGACCUUACGGUCAGCAGACGGUAACUGCGAAAGAAGCGCCGGCUAACUACGUGCCACCAGCCGCGGUAAUACGGAGGGGGCAAGCUUUAUCCUGAUUUACUGGGUGUAAAGGGGGCGUAGACGGGGUGGCAAGUCUGGUGGGAAAUGCCGCAGCGUAACUCCGGAACUGCUUUGGAAACUGGCGAACUAGAGUGCAGGAGAGGUAGGCGGAAUUCCUAGUGUAGCGGUGAAAUGCGUAGAUAUUAGGAGGAACACCGGUGGCGAAGGCGGCUUACUGGACCGUAACUGACGUUGAGGCUCGAAAGCGUGGGGAGCAAACAGGAUUAGAUACCCCAGUAGUC